ensembl:lncRNA
CACACAGGUGGAAACUCUGAGCGGGGAAAUGGAUCAGCCCUGGGGCCCUGACUGUUUUCACCACAAUGUGAGAGCCCAAGGGGUGGAGCCGUGAGCAGGGCUCUGGGGUCCAGGGGCUCAGGUUCACAUCUUACCUCCAGCACCUGCUGUGUGGUCUCAGAUGUUGGCGCUUCUAGUAUCUACAUCAUUUCAUGUGGGGAAGGCUCAUGAUGAAGCAGAACCAUGCUUUUGUUUUGGAAGUAGACAUGAGGAGCUGGAGCAGUAGUGAGGAGGCAACAUACAAUAUUCAACGGAGACGAGCAGGCACGUCACCGCCUCCUGGAACUUAGACACAGUGGCUAACGCCUCGGCACCACUCUCGGGUCCAGUUUAAAGUCACCCGCUCAACAGCCAGAGUCGGCCUGCAGAAAUGAAGAUCACCUACUCUCAAGGCUCCAGUGACUUUCUAUUCCUCUUAAGAUGAAGUCCCUUCACCUUCCCAUGACCUGCAGGCCUGUGUGAUGGGUUCCUGCCCGCUCCAUCCCCCCUCCUAUCACUUCCUACCUGCUUUCUCUGCUCCAGC